rnacentral:hammerhead_ribozyme from 1 species
AUCCAGCUGAUGGGUCCCAAAUAGGACGAAAUGCACAAUAUCCUGGAU